rnacentral:rRNA from 1 species
CCUACGGGUGGCAGCAGUGGGGAAUAUUGCACAAUGGGGGAAACCCUGAUGCAGCGACGCCGCGUGAGUGAGGAAGUAUUUCGGUAUGUAAAGCUCUAUCAGCAGGGAAGAAAAUGACGGUGCCUGACUAAGAAGCCCCUGCUAACUACGUGCCAGGAGCCGCGGUAAUACGUAGGGGGCAAGCGUGAUCCGGUUUUACUGGGGGUAACGGGAGCGCAGACGGAAUUGCAAGUCUGAUGUGAAAAUCCCGGGCCCAACCCGGGAACUGCAUUCGAAACUGUAGUUCUAGAGUGUCGGAGAGGGAAGUAGAAUUCCUGGUGUAGCGGUGAAAUGCGUAGAGAUCAGGAGGAACACCAGUGGCGAAGGCGGCUCGCUGGACGAUGACUGACGCUGAGGCUCGAAAGCGUGGGGAGCAAACAGGAUUAGAUACCCCAGUAGUC